rnacentral:lncRNA from 1 species
GAGGUGACGGUUGUUUUCUCAUCCUUUUCUGUUUUGACUGGCUCCUUGCGUCUCUACCGUUUUAGUUAAGUCCCCCAUCAGGAGAUCAGUCUUUUAUUUUUUUCCAUUGUUAUCGUAUUUGACUGAUUUCUAAAGAUGAUAAUCGAAUCAGAUCGGAUCAUAAAUAGAUUGGAUCAAAAAAUUAUCAAUUCAAAUCCGACUUGUUUAUUAAACAGG